GCCGGGUGUGGUGGCGCGUGCCUGUAAUCCCAGCUACUGGGGAGGCUGAGGCAGGAGAAUCACUUGAACCUGGGAGGUGGAGGUUGCAGUGAGCCAAGAUUGUGCCACUGCACUCCAGCCUGGGUGACAGAGCGAGACUCUGUUUCAA
ensembl:misc_RNA Metazoa_SRP Metazoan signal recognition particle RNA